rnacentral:rRNA from 1 species
GUGAGGAAUAUUGCGCAAUGGAGGCAACUCUGACGCAGCCAUGCCGCGUGCAGGAAGAAGGCGCUACGCGUUGUAAACUGCUUUUAACCGGGAAGAAACCCCAGGACGUGUCCUGGGUUGACGGUACCGGAGGAAUAAGCACCGGCUAACUUCGUGCCAGCAGCCGCGGUAAUACGAAGGGUGCAAGCGUUAUCCGGAUUCAUUGGGUUUAAAGGGUGCGUAGGCGGAGCGUUAAGUCAGUGGUGAAAUCCUGCAGCUUAACUGUAGACUUGCCAUUGAUACUGGCGCUCUUGAGUGCGCUUGAAGUGGGCGGAAUGUGCCGUGUAGCGGUGAAAUGCUUAGAUAUGGCACAGAACACCAAUUGCGAAGGCAGCUCACUAAGGCGAUACUGACGCUGAGGCACGAAAGCGUGGGGAUCGAACAGGAUUAGAAACCCGUGUAGC